rnacentral:rRNA from 1 species
UUUCUUCCCUUCGGGGACCUAGUGACAGGUGCUGCAUGGCUGUCGUCAGCUCGUGUCGUGAGAUGUUGGGUUAAGUCCCGCGACGAGCGCAACCCUCGUCCUUAGUUGCCAUCAUUAAGUUGGGCACUUUAAGGAAACUGCCGGUGAUAAGCCGGAGGAAGGUGGGGAUGACGUCAAGUCCUCAUGGCCCUUACAGGCUGGGCUACACACGUGCUACAAUGGCAUCUACAGUGGGCAGCUAUUCCGCAAGGAUGCGCUAAUCUCCAAAAGAUGUCUCAGUUCGGAUUGUCCUCUGCAACUCGAGGGCAUGAAGGCGGAAUCGCUAGUAAUCGCGGAUCAGCAUGCCGCGGUGAAUACGUUCCCAGGCCUU